rnacentral:rRNA from 1 species
AUUGAACGCUGGCGGCAUGCCUUACACAUGCAAGUCGAACGGAAGCAUGAUGAGGCUUGCUCGAUUGAUGGAGAGUGGCGCACGGGUGAGAAAUACAGCGGAACGUGCCCUGUGGUGGGGGAUAACUAGUCGAAAGAGUAGCAAAAACGGCAAACGUACUGAAGGGGAAGGUGGGGGAGUGAAAGGCCGCAUGCUAUAGACGCGGACCAGGUCUCAUUAGCUAGUUGGUGAGGUAAAGGCUAACCAAGGCGACGAUCAGUAGCUGGUCUGAGAGGGGGAUCGGCCACACUGGAACUGAGACACGGUCCAGACUCCUACGGGAGGCAGCAGUGGGGAAUCUUGCGCAAUGGGCGAAAGCCUGAUCCAGCAAUGCCGCGUGUGUGAUGAAGGCCUUCGGGUCGUAAAGCUCUUUUGUCCGGAAAGAAAUGGUGUUUGUUUAUACCUGCGCGCCUUGACGGUACCUGAACAGAAAGCACCGGCUAACUACGUG